rnacentral:rRNA from 1 species
CUACGGGGUGCACCAGCAAGGAAUUUUGUGCAAUGGGCGAAAGCCUGACACAGCGACGCCGCGUGGGGGAUGAAGGCUUUCGGGUUGUAAACCCCUUUUCUCAGGGAGGAUAAUGACAGUACCUGGGGAAUAAGCCAUGGCUAACUACGUGCCAGCAGCCGCGGUAAUACGUAGGUGGCGAGCGUUAUCCGGAUUUACUGGGCGUAAAGCGGGCGCAGACGGUUUUUCAAGUCGGAUGUAAAAUCUCCCGGCUCAACCGGGAUGGACCGUUCGAAACUGUUAAACGUGAGGACAACAGGGGGAGGUAGAAUUCCCGGUGUAGUGGUGAAAUGCGUAGAUAUCGGGAGGAAUACCAGUGGCGAAGGCGGCCUCCUGGGUUGUAUCUGACGCUCAUGCCCGAAGGUGUGGGGAGCAAACAGGAUUAGAUACCCGGGUAGUC